rnacentral:rRNA from 1 species
GCCAGACUCCUACGGGAGGCAGCAGUGAGGAAUAUUGGUCAAUGGACGAGAGUCUGAACCAGCCAAGUAGCGUGAAGGAUGACUGCCCUAUGGGUUGUAAACUUCUUUUAUAAAGGAAUAAAACGAGGCACGUGUGCCUUUUUGCAUGUACUUUAUGAAUAAGGAUCGGCUAACUCCGUGCCAGCAGCCGCGGUAAUACGGAAGGUCCGGGCGUUAUCCGGAUUUAUUGGGUUUAAAGGGAGCGUAGGCCGGCUUUUAAGUCAGCUGUGAAAGUCCGCGGCUCAACCGUGGAAUUGCAGUUGAAACUGGAGGCCUUGAGUGCACACAGGGAUGCCGGAAUUCAUGGUGUAGCGGUGAAAUGCUUAGAUAUCAUGAAGAACUCCGAUCGCGAAGGCAAGUGUCCGGGGUGCAACUGACGCUGAGGCUCGAAAGUGCGGGUAUCAAACAGGAUUAGAUACCCGUGUAC